rnacentral:lncRNA from 10 species
UUACUACAAUUCUAGAUUACUUACAAUACCUAAUACAAUGUAAAUGCUAUGUAAAUAGUUGUUAUACACCAUUGUUUAGGGACUCAUAAGAAAAAAAGUCUGCACAUGUUCAGUACAGAUACAAUUUUUUUCCCCAUAUUUUCGAUCCAUGGUUGUUUGAACCUACAAUACAAAAUGGUUAUGGAGGACUGACUGUGGUUAAGAGUACAUUUUCGGCUGGGUGUGAUUUUUAAAAAUCCAUCUCUCCUUGUAUUAGCUUGCUACUGCUGCUAUAGCAAAUUAUCACAUUGAGUGGCUUAAAGGCAACACAAUUUUAUUAUCUUACACUUCUGGAGGUCAGAAGUGCAAGACGGGUCUCCUGGGGCUAAAAGUAAGGUGUCAGCAAGGCUGCUGCAUUGUUCCUGGAGGCUCUAGGGGAGAAACUGUUCCUUUGCCUCUUCCACCUCCUAGUGGCCACCUAGAUUCUAUGGCUUGUGGUCCCUUCCACUGUCUUCAAUGCCAGCAACAGCAGACUGAAUCUUUGUCCCAAUGCAUCACUUUGACUCUGACCCUGACCCUCCUGCCUCCAUCUUCUGUUGUGGGAAGUCAGGGACCCCGAAUGGAGGGACCGGCUGAAGCCAUGGCAGAAGAACACGGAUUGUGAAGAUUUCAUGGACAUUUAUUAGAUCCCCAAAUUAACACUUUUAUAAUUUCUUAUGCCUGUC